AUUGAACGCUGGCGGCAUGCCUUACACAUGCAAGUCGAACGGCAGCGCGGGAGCAAUCCUGGCGGCGAGUGGCGAACGGGUGAGUAAUAUAUCGGAACGUGCCCAGUAGUGGGGGAUAGCCCGGCGAAAGCCGGAUUAAUACCGCAUACGACCUACGGGUGAAAGGGGGGGAUCGCAAGACCUCUCGCUAUUGGAGCGGCCGAUAUCAGGUGAGGUAGUUGGUGGGGUAAAGGCCUACCAAGCCUGCGAUCUGUAGUUGGUCUGAGAGGACGACCAGCCACACUGGGAAUGAGACACGGCCCCGACUCCUACGGGAGGCAGCAGUGGGGAAUUUUGGACUAUGGGCGCAAGCCUGAUCCAGCAAUGCCGCGUGCAGGAAGAAGGCCUUCGGGUUGUAAACUGCUUUUGUCAGGGAAGAAAUCCUCUGGGUUAAUACCUCGGGGGGAUGACGGUACCUGAAGAAUAAGCACCGGCUAACUACGUGCCAGCCGCCGCGGUAACAC
rnacentral:rRNA from 1 species